GGGGGUGACAGGUCUCGACUUAGAUAUGUCGGGUAAGGGCAGCAUGUCGCGGACGCAAGGUUGGCCGCGUUAAAAAUCCUUGUACAAUACAAAUGCUAACGAAAAUAUAGCAGAUGUCGCAGAGAGAAUCGCUAAUGGUGCUUAUAUUCCGGCGCCUUCAGUGGUUCCUUUUGCACCGUUCGCCUUAGCUCACUAAUCUGAGCUAAGCCUCAAACCUGUCUGCCUAAGGGCGGGAUUUGAGACUCUAAUUUAGGCUGGCCCCGGCCGUUAGCCUUCAAAACCGGGGUAAGAGUAGUAAAAGGCUGCGCCUUGUUCAAUCCUGUCUGUCGGAGUGUAUGGGGCUAAGCGUAAAUGCCAGACUAAACAUGUAGCGGCUUUUAUCAGAGUAUUUAAGGACGGCGGUUCGAUUCCGCCCACCUCCACCA
rnacentral:tmRNA from 1 species